UUUGUAGCGGUCAGUGGUUACGACAUUGGAUUACUGAUCGGAAGGUCAUGGGUUCAAAUCCCAGCACUGCCAAG